rnacentral:rRNA from 1 species
UACGGAGGGUGCAAGCGUUAUCCGGAUUUACUGGGUUUAAAGGGUGCGCAGGCGGAUAUGUAAGUCAGUGGUGAAAUCUCUAGGCUUAACCUGGAAAUUGCCGUUGAUACUAUAUAUCUUGAAUGUUGUGGAGGUAAGCAGAAUAUGUCAUGUAGCGGUGAAAUGCUUAGAUAUGACAUAGAAUACCUAUUGCGAAGGCAGCUUACUACGCAGAUAUUGACGCUCAUGCACGAAAGCGUGGGGAUCAAACAGG